GGGGGUGUUAAAUGUGGCAUUAAUUUGUAAUCUUAGGAAAUAAAUAAGGUUACAUGCACUUGAAGAAAAUGUAUCAGGAAAAUACAUGAUGCACUUGAAGAAAAUGUAUCAGAAAAAUACAUGAUGCAAAUUCAUGAAUUAUUAGGUGUCCAUUUAUAUUCCCAUGUCUCUAGAGUUAUCCAUGUGGUCCUAUAAAUAGAGGUCAUUCUUGUAGUCUCAUUGUAAGAAAAAAAAGAAGAAAACAUUAUUGAGUGUGCUGUAGCAACUCAAAAACUAUCAAUAAAAAUUCAAGUUUUUCUUCAACACUUCGUUUCCGCACUAACA
rnacentral:lncRNA from 1 species